GCCCAGUGUGCAAUGACUGCAAAGAGCAGCCUUCUUGGUGGUGUACGCAGCCUGUUGCCUAUACAGUUGGCCCUAAGGGACCUUGGAGACAACUCUUUCCAGUGGACAAUUACGAUUGGCUUGCUGUCUCCAGUCUAGGCUCCAGACAGCAGCCCCCUGGUGAACAGUCUCAACAAGAGGAACCACCAAAGAGUGAGGACAUUCUACCUGGUCAAGGGAGAGAGGAUGAAGGAGCACCUGUUAUUCAAGGACCUAACCUGGAAGUUGAUCGACUGGAACUGACUGGAGAUCAGAUCAGAUCAGUCCCUCAGUCGUGUCCGACUCGUUGCGAGCCCAUGAAUUGCAGCACGCCAGGCCUCCCUGUCCAUCACCAACUCCCGGAGUUCACCCAGAU
rnacentral:lncRNA from 1 species